GAUGAACGCUGGCGGCGUGCCUAAUACAUGCAAGUCGAGCGAACGGACGAGAAGCUUGCUUCUCUGAUGUUAGCGGCGGACGGGUGAGUAACGCGUGGAUAACCUACCUAUAAGACUGGGAUAACUUCGGGAAACCGGAGCUAAUACCGGAUGAUAUUUUGAACCGCAUGGUUCAAAAGUGAAAGACGGUCUUGCUGUCACUUAUAGAUGGAUCCGCGCUGCAUUAGCUAGUUGGUAAGGUAACGGCUUACCAAGGCAACGAUGCAUAGCCGACCUGAGAGGGUGAUCGGCCACACUGGAACUGAGACACGGUCCAGACUCCUACGGGAGGCAGCAGUAGGGAAUCUUCCGCAAUGGGCGAAAGCCUGUCGGAGCAACGCCGCGUGAGUGAUGAAGGUCUUCGGAUCGUAAAACUCUGUUAUUAGGGAAGAACAUAUGUGUAAGUAACUGUGCACAUCUUGACGGUACCUAAUCAGAAAGCCACGGCUAACUACGUG
rnacentral:rRNA from 1 species